CCUGGUUGAUCCUGCCAGAGGUUACUGCUAUCGAGGUUCGACUAAGCCAUGCGAGUCGAAUGUAGCAAUACAUGGCGUACUGCUCAGUAACACGUGGACAACCUACCCUUAGGUCGGGGAUAAACCCGGGAAACUGGGUAUAAUACCCGAUAGAUCUCGACUGCUGGAAUGCAUCGAGAUCGAAAGCUCCGGCGCCUAAGGAUGGGUCUGCGGCCUAUCAGGUAGUAGUGGGUGUAGCGUACCUACUAGCCUACGACGGGUACGGGUUGUGAGAGCAAGAGCCCGGAGAUGGAUUCUGAGACACGAAUCCAGGCCCUACGGGGUGCAGCAGGCGCGAAAACUUUACAAUGCUGGAAACAGCGAUAAGGGGACCUCGAGUGCCAGGUUACAAAUCUGGCUGUCGUGAUGCCUAAAAAGCAUUGCAUAGCAAGGGCCGGGCAAGACCGGUGCCAGCCGCCGCGGUAACACCGGCGGCUCGAGUGGUAACCGUUAUUAUUGGGUCUAAAGGGUCUGUAGCCGGCCGGAUAAGUCUCUUGGGAAAUCCAGCAGCUCAACUGUUGGGCUUUCAGGAGAUACUGUCUGGCUCGAGGCCGGGAGAGGUGAGAGGUACUUCAGGGGUAGGGGUGAAAUCUUGUAAUCCUUGAAGGACCACCAGUGGCGAAGGCGUCUCACCAGAACGGACCUGACGGCAAGGGACGAAAGCUAGGGGCACGAACCGGAUUAGAUACCCGGGUAGUCCUAGCCGUAAACGAUACUCGCUAGGUGUCGGCCACGGUGCGACCGUUGUCGGUGCCGUAGGGAAGCCGUGAAGCGAGCCACCUGGGAAGUACGGCCGCAAGGCUGAAACUUAAAGGAAUUGGCGGGGGAGCACCACAACGGGUGGAGCUUGCGGUUUAAUUGGAUUCAACGCCGGG
rnacentral:rRNA from 1 species